AUGGUCCCCCCUCAUCAUUAACAUCUGAUUUUAACGCGUUUUCUUCUCAUUUCACGUGCUCUUCUCAAUUUCUUUGAAGAAUCCGAGCCAUUCAUAAAUGGAUGAUAGUUAAAUGGGAGCCAUAGGAUCGAGAUCUUUGGAUCCUAAGCGUCCAUUUGCCUAAAACCCGUUUACACGAAAAAGGCUUUCGGAUUUUUAGGGAUUUUUUCAGAUUUUGGAGAAAAAUCGGUUUUCUUGGAGAAGAGGUUAGAAGCUUCUGGGUUGGAAUAUAAAAGGAGAUUUUUCGGGCAGAAAAAGAGGAUACGGGAGAAAAUCAGAGAAAAAUUUGGAAAAAAGAGUGUUCUAGAGUUCUAGGGGUGAUUCUUCUCAUAUUUCUAUUUUCCGUUAAGUAGAGUAAUACAAUCAAAAAAGAGUUAGAACAUUUUGGUUAGAGAUCUGUUUUUCAUUUUAAAAAAUCAGAAAACACAAAAAAAAUGUUUAGUUUAGUGCUCUUUGAUUUUCGGCUUUCUUCCUUCAAUUUUGGAUUCCACAUUUUUCGAUUUUGCUCUUUCGACAUGGAAAUUAAUUGAGCCGAAAUCGAGUUUGUCGUUCGAGUUUUGGUCGCUGAUUCGGUUCCUGUCUACCUGCUGCCGUGUCGCUUCUUCAUUUCAAAACUUCAUCGGGAAGUUUAACUUGUAAUCGCUUACAAACGAAAUUAAUCAAAGCCUCGAUCAAACAGGGCUGGAUAACGAAUAUCACAUGUCGUGUGAAAUCAACCAAGCAUAGAGCUAAUACUUUGGUGGAUUAAUCGUGUUGUAGUAGCUGCACGGGGGCGAAGCAAUGUGUGGCCAAUGGUGAUCAACUUAAGCUCUUCGCCGAAAAAUUAUACUUACUAAAAUAUUAGAUUAAAAAAAAUAGACUUUGAAUACCCUUGCAUAGUCCAAUGACAAAGGGUGUUCAAAUUGAAUUUUCUGGCUUCGCCAUUGGUAGCUGCAAUUUCUAGCACAUAUUUCCCACGGUUGGGGCUAGCUAGUUUAUGUUAAUUCUUUCAUCAAAUUUCUCACUUUGUCAGAUGUAUUGGAUGGAGAAAUUAAAAUGCAAUCUUGUUUUUUUUUUCUUUUCA